GACAAGUUCGAGCAUCUUAAAAUGAUUCAACAGGAGGAGAUAAGGAAGCUCGAGGAAGAGAAAAAACAACUGGAAGGAGAAAUCAUAGAUUUUUAUAAAAUGAAAGCUGCCUCUGAAGCACUGCAGACUCAGCUGAGCACCGAUACAAAGAAAGACAAACAUCCUGAUCCAUAUGAAUUCCUCUUAUUAAGAAAAAUAAAGCAUCCAGGAUUCAAUGAAGAACUGACUAUCACCUUGUUAAUCAUUCAGAAACAUGUUGCAGGCUUAAGCCAUUUUUGAUAUAGAUACUGAAACAAUUACUUGCUAAGAGCAAACUUGAAGGUAUGGAUAAGGCCCUGAGUCAUCUUCCUGAGCUGAAUGAUAGUUAAGCUGAAUUAACAAUUUGGACAAGACAGCAAAUGCUAUUGUCCAAGUUUUCUAAAGAAGAAUCUGAAGUGAAAUGACAUCAAGAGACCUAUCAAGACCUGUAUCCAGGAAAAG
rnacentral:lncRNA from 1 species